UACGGGGGGGGCAAGCGUUGUUCGGAAUUACUGGGCGUAAAGGGCUCGUAGGUGGCCAACUAAGUCAGACGUGAAAUCCCUCAGCUUAACUGGGGAACUGCGUCUGAUACUGGAUGGCUUGAGUUUGGGAGAGGGAUGCGGAGUUCCAGGUGUAGCGGUGAAAUGCGUAGAUAUCUGGAGGAACACCGGUGGCGAAGGCGGCUACCUGGACCGGUUCUGACGCUGAUGCGCGAAAGCGUGGGUAGCAAACAGG
rnacentral:rRNA from 1 species